rnacentral:rRNA from 1 species
AUUGAACGCUGGCGGCAGGCCUAACACAUGCAAGUCGAGCGGCAGCGGAAAGUAGCUUGCUACUUUGCCGGCGAGCGGCGGACGGGUGAGUAAUGUCUGGGAAACUGCCUGAUGGAGGGGGAUAACUACUGGAAACGGUAGCUAAUACCGCAUAACGUCGCAAGACCAAAGAGGGGGACCUUCGGGCCUCUUGCCAUCAGAUGUGCCCAGAUGGGAUUAGCUAGUAGGUGGGGUAAUGGCUCACCUAGGCGACGAUCCCUAGCUGGUCUGAGAGGAUGACCAGCCACACUGGAACUGAGACACGGUCCAGACUCCUACGGGAGGCAGCAGUGGGGAAUAUUGCACAAUGGCGCAAGCCUGAUGCAGCCAUGCCGCGUGUAUGAAGAAGGCCUUCGGGUUGUAAAGUACUUUGCAGCGGGAGGAAGGUGUUGAGGUUAAUAACCUCAGCAAUUGACGUUACCCGCAGAAGAAGCACCGGCUAACUCCGUGCCAGCAGCCGCGGUAAUACGGAGGGUGCAAGCGUUAAUCGGAAUUACUGGGCGUAAAGGCGCACGCAGGCGGUCUGUCAAGUCGGAUGUGAAAUCCCCGGGCUCAACCUGGGAACUGCAUUCGAAACUGGCAGGCUAGAGUCUUGUAGAGGGGGUAGAAUUCCAGGUGUAGCGGUGAAAAAUGCGUAGAGAUCUGGAGGAAUACCGGUGGCGAAGGCGGCCCCCUGGACAAAGACUGACG